rnacentral:rRNA from 1 species
CUCGUAGGCGGCCAACUAAGUCAGACGUGAAAUCCCUCGGCUUAACCGGGGAACUGCGUCUGAUACUGGUUGGCUUGAGUGUGGGAGAGGGAUGCGGAAUUCCAGGUGUAGCGGUGAAAUGCGUAGAUAUCUGGAGGAACACCGGUGGCGAAGGCGGCAUCCUGGACCACAACUGACGCUGAGGAGCGAAAGCCAGGGGAGCAAACG